rnacentral:rRNA from 1 species
UGGGGAAUAUUGCACAAUGGGGGAAACCCUGAUGCAGCGACGCCGCGUGAGCGAAGAAGGCUUUCGAGUCGUAAAGCUCUGUCCUAUGAGAAGAUAAUGACGGUAUCAUAGGAGGAAGCCCUGGCUAAAUGCGUGCCAGCAGCCGCGGUAAUACGUAUGGGGCGAGCGUUGUCCGGAAUUAUUGGGCGUAAAGGGUACGUAGGCGGUUUUUUAAGUCAGGUGUCAAAGCGUGGAGCUUAACUCCAUUAAGCACUUGAAACUGAAAGACUUGAGUGAAGGAGAGGAAAGUGGAAUUCCUAGUGUAGCGGUGAAAUGCGUAGAUAUUAGGAGGAAUACCGGUGGCGAAGGCGACUUUCUGGACUUUUACUGACGCUCAGGUACGAAAGCGUGGGGAGCAAACAGG